UGAAAGUUCAGAGAAACUUACAAACAGCUGGAAAAUCUCAGCAUGUCAGGCAGUUGUGGAGAGACUUCUCAGGCCGAGUCCUAACCGGAAGACCACAAUCUGUGCGGAUUGGUGAUCAACACUGGUGCACCUCAGGAGUGUGUGCUUAGCCCACUGCUCUACUCUCUAUAUAUACCCAUGACUGUGUGACUAGGCAUAGCUCAAAUACCGUCUAUAAAUUUGCUGACGAUACACUCAUUGUGGGUAGAAUCUCAGGUGAUAAUGAGAGGGAGUGAGAUAUGUCAGCUACUGGAGUGGUGCCGCAGCAACAACCCGGCACUCAAUGUCAGUAAGACGAAAGAGUUGAUUGUGGACUUCAGGAAGGGUAACACGAAGGAACACAUACCAAUCCUCAUAGAGGAGAGAGUGAGCAGCUUCAAGUUCCUGGGUGUCAAGAUCUCUGAGGAUCUAACCUGGUCUCAACAUAUUGAUGCAGCUAUAAAGAAGGCAAUAGGAGUUUGAAGAGAUUUUGUCCUGAAAAGGAUCUCAGCUGAAACGUCCAGUUUUACUCUUUUCCAUUGAUGCUGCCCGACCUGCUGAGUUUCUCCAGCAAUUUGUGUGUGUGUGUGUUGCUAAGGAGUACAGAGUUCUUCUCUAUAAGAUGUUGGAACAGAGAACAGGACCCACAAUGUCAAGAUAUUCCCUCUGGCGUCCUUGAUGAGGUCCCCUCUCAACCCCUGGCUCUUCAGAGAAGACACCACAAAUUGGUCCAACCUCAUGCCCUCUAAUCCAGGCAGCAUCCGCAUCUGAACCCUCUCUGAUGCCUCCACACUUUUCCUGUACUGGGGUGACCACAACUGAAUGCAAUACUCCAGGUAUUGGGUGAUGGAUGGAGUGGAGAUACGUCCCUACCAAAGGAGGUGUAAGGUGCUCCUUCCUUCCGCCAGCCUGCAGGUCACCCGUCUUGUAAAGACACUACCCAAAAGAAGGCAAAGGAAAACCACUUCUGUCGAAAAAUUUGCCAAGAAGCAUCAUGGCCAUGGAAAGACCACGAUCAUACGACACGGCGUGUAAUGAUGACAUAUGGCACGGCACAUAAUGAUGAUGCAUAAACAAAGACUGACAACAACCAAUGUGUAAAAGAAGGCAAAUAAGAAAUAAAUAAUACUGAGAGUGUGAGGUGUGGAAUCCUUGAAAAUGAGUCUGUCAGAUGUGGAAUCAGUUCAGAGUUGAGGUGAGUGAAGUUAUCCACACUUGUUCAGGAGCCUGAUGGUUGUGGGGUAAUAACUGUUCCCGAACCUGGUGG